CAUAAGUAAUGAUAAUCAUAUUUUGGCAUAAAUAAAAAAUUACAAUCAUACAUAUGUCAUAAAUAAUUUCUCAUUUUAAGUCCAUAUUCUUGAUAAUUAUUAAUUUCCAAAAUAUAUAAAUGCACCAAACCAACGGCCACUAUAAAGUGUUCAGUGUUAAAGAAAAAACUACAUUAUAAUAUAAACAUACCUGAUAAUACAAACAACAACUACUGGAAUCCUGCAAACUAAUAUAGGUUCACAGGUAAACCAGAUGUAGAAGUAAUGGUCUAGCCCAGCUUUCUUGACCAUCAUCUUCUGAAAAAUAAAAUUAAAAACCACAAAGUAUCUUGACCAAAAAAUACAUGUAAAUACAAUAUUUUAUAAUUACAAAUGAUUAACUACACCUAUAAAAAAGUUCCUUAAAACUGAAAC
rnacentral:lncRNA from 1 species